AUGGGGGCAACCCUGAUCCAGCAAUGCCGCGUGAGUGAAGAAGGCCUUCGGGUUGUAAAGCUCUUUUGUCAGGGAAGAAACGGUUNUGGCUAAUAUCCAGAGCUAAUGACGGUACCUGAAGAAUAAGCACCGGCUAACUACGUGCCAGCAGCCGCGGUAAU
rnacentral:rRNA from 1 species